CUGACAGCCAUUUGAACACGUGUAUUUCGACUUGAACAUCACAAAUGAUGUCCAGUGACGCCCAAUCCCGUUUUCCGUGUUUACAUUGAAUUUUGACGUACGGUUGCUUUUUAGUUGGGCCAUGGCCCAACCAGCGGAGGCCCAACUAAAAAGUGACCCAAGUAUUAAAAUCCCAACCAGCGAAUCCCGACUGUACUGUUCCCACCAAGAGAGAAUUCAUCAUUUUGGUUGAAACUAAGGCACCGCAUCUCGUCUGCUGUUUAAGGUGGAAGUAUCGUAGACUCCACGACAACGAAACUUUGUUCAACGUCCAACAUCAGAAUGUGAACGAUUCAUUCCUAAAUUAGAUCCUGGGUUAGAUGGUGCCAACAUACCGGAAUUUAGAACGGAGUCCAACAUGCGGGGGAGGAGGAACGCUAAGACUAAACCAAAGCGACAACAUGCAGGGCAAAUGGUUUAAUAAAACAACAUUGAUGAUCAGAUUGUAUUAAGGCAGA